rnacentral:rRNA from 1 species
CGGGUGAGUGAUGUAUGGGGAUCUGCCUGAUGGCGGGGGAUAACUACUGGAAACGGUAGCUAAUACCGCAUAACGUCGCAAGACCAAAGAGGGGGACCUUAGGGCCUCUUGCCAUCGGAUGUGCCCAGAUGGGAUUAGCUAGUAGGUGGGGUAACGGCUUACCUAGGCGACGAUCCCUAGCUGGUCUGAGAGGAUGAUCAGCCACACUGGGACUGAGACACGGCCCAG